AGUUUGAUCCUGGCUCAGGAUGAACGCUAGCUACAGGCUUAACACAUGCAAGUCGAGGGGCAGCAUUGGGGUAGCAAUACUUCAGAUGGCGACCGGCGCACGGGUGAGUAACACGUAUCCAACCUGCCGCUUACUCGGGGAUAGCCUUUCGAAAGAAAGAUUAAUACCCGAUGGUAUAAAGAGUUCGCAUGUUCUCUUUAUUAAAGAAUUUCGGUAAGCGAUGGGGAUGCGUUCCAUUAGAUUGUUGGCGGGGUAACGGCCCACCAAGUCUACGAUGGAUAGGGGUUCUGAGAGGAAGGUCCCCCACAUUGGAACUGAGACACGGUCCAAAUCCUACGGGAGGCAGCAGUGAGGAAUAUUGGUCAAUGGACGCGAGUCUGAACCAGCCAAGUAGCGUGAAGGAUGACUGCCCUAUGGGUUGUAAACUUCUUUUAUAAGGGAAUAAAGUGAGGGACGUGUCCCUUCUUGUAUGUACCUUAUGAAUAAGGAUCGGCUAACUCCGUGCCAGCAGCCGCGGUAAUACGGAGGAUCCAAGCGUUAUCCGGAUUUAUUGGGUUUAAAGGGAGCGUAGGUUGACGUAUAAGUCAGCUGUGAAAGUUUACGGCUCAACCGUGAAAUUGCAGUUGAUACUGUAUGUCUUGAGUGUACAAGAGGUGGGCGGAAUUCGUGGUGUAGCGGUGAAAUGCUUAGAUAUCACGAAGAACUCCAAUUGCGAAGGCAGCUCACUGGGGUACAACUGACACUGAGGCUCGAAAGUGUGGGUAUCAAACAGGAUUAGAUACCCUGGUAGUCCACACAGUAAACGAUGAAUACUCGCUGUUUGCGAUAUACAGUAAGCGGCCAAGCGAAAGCAUUAAGUAUUCCACCUGGGGAGUACGCCGGCAACGGUGAAACUCAAAGGAAUUGACGGGGGCCCGCACAAGCGGAGGAACAUGUGGUUUAAUUCGAUGAUACGCGAGGAACCUUACCCGGGCUUGAAUUGCAGAGGAACAUAGUUGAAAGAUUAUGGCCGCAAGGUCUCUGUGAAGGUGCUGCAUGGUUGUCGUCAGCUCGUGCCGUGAGGUGUCGGCUUAAGUGCCAUAACGAGCGCAACCCUUAUCAUUAGUUACUAACAGGUCAUGCUGAGGACUCUAGUGAGACUGCCGUCGUAAGAUGUGAGGAANGUGGA
rnacentral:rRNA from 1 species